rnacentral:lncRNA from 1 species
CCGGAAUAUCCCGAACCGGAAAAAACCCGGGUUUCGUCACUAACUGAAAUUUUAAGACAAUUAAUUUAUAGAUCUGACUGAGUUUAAAAAAAAUGUAUAUAGAUCUGAUUAGCAAGAUGAUAGAGAAACAAGAAAAAAAGAAAAGUCAGUCAAGUUUGCCGCUGAAAUAGACGAAGGGCUGUUGCUCCGAUCUGGAUAUAAGUUCUACAAUGGUUGAAGAAAGAAGAAGACGAGAUGGAGGAGGAAAAGAAAAAGAAUUUGGCGUGGGGUAGGUGGCUGGGGUGCUUUGGAGUUUG